rnacentral:rRNA from 1 species
CAGCAGCCGCGGGAAUACGUAGGGUGCGAGCGUUAACCGGAAUUACUGGGCGUAAAGCGGGCGCAGACGGUUACUUAAGCAGGAUGUGAAAUCCCCGGGCUCAACCUGGGAACUGCAUUUGAGACUGUAUGGCUAGAGUGUGUCAGAGGGGGGUAGAAUUCCACGUGUAGCAGUGAAAUGCGUAGAUAUGUGGAGGAAUACCGAUGGCGAAGGCAGCCCCCUGGGAUAACACUGACGCUCAUGCACGAAAGCGUGGGGAGCAAACAGGAUUAGAUACCCGCGUAGUCCCUGUCUCUUAUAC